UCGCAGGUGAGAUGAUAGCAU
rnacentral:miRNA from 1 species